rnacentral:rRNA from 1 species
CCAGACUCCUACGGGAGGCAGCAGUGGGGAAUAUUGCACAAUGGGGGAAACCCUGAUGCAGCAACGCCGCGUGAGUGAAGAAGUAUUUCGGUAUGUAAAGCUCUAUCAGCAGGGAAGAAGAAGGACGGUACCUGACUAAGAAGCCCCGGCUAACUACGUGCCAGCAGCCGCGGUAAUACGUAGGGAGCGAGCGUUGUCCGGAAUUACUGGGUGUAAAGGGAGCGUAGGCGGGGAUGCAAGUUGGGCGUUAAAUCUACCGGCUCAACUGGUAGUCGCACUCAAAACUGCAGCUCUUGAGUGAAGUAGAGGCAGGCGGAAUUCCUAGUGUAGCGGCGAAAUGCGUAGAUAUUAGGAGGAACACCAGUGGCGAAGGCGGCCUGCUGGGCUUUUACUGACGCUGAGGCUCGAAAGUGUGGGGAGCAAACAGGAUUAGAUACCCCAGUA